UACGUAGGGCGCAAGCGUUGUCCGGAUUUACUGGGCGUAAAGGGCGCGUAGGCGGCGCAACAAGUCACUUGUGAAAUCUCCGGGCUUAACCCGGAGCGGUCAAGUGAUACUGUCGUGCUAGAGUGCGGAAGGGGCUACUGGAAUUCAUGGUGUAGCAGUGAAAUGCGUAGAGAUCAUGAGGAAGACCAGUGGCGAAGGCGGGUUGCUGGGCCGACACUGACGCUGGAGGCGCGAAAGCUAGGGGAGCGAACGGG
rnacentral:rRNA from 1 species